AUUGAACGCUGGCGGCAGGCCUAACACAUGCAAGUCGAGCGAGCGGCGGACGGGUGAGUAAUGCCUGGGAAUUGCCCAGUCGAGGGGGAUAACAGUUGGAAACGACUGCUAAUACCGCAUACGAUGGGAUUGCCAAGGUGGGGUUCGCUAGUUGGUGAGGUAAUGGCUCACCAAGGCGACUAUCCCUGGCGGGUCUGCGAGGAUGGACAGCCACACUGGAACUGAUACACGGUCCAGACUCCUACGGUAGGCAGCAGGGGGGAAUAUUGCACAAUGGGGGAAGCCCUGAUACAGCCAUGCCGCGUGUGUGAAGAAGGCCUUCGGGUUGUAAAGCACUUUCAGCGAGGAGGCGUUACUCGCAGAAGAAGCACCGGCUAACUCCGUGCCAGCAGCCGCGGUAAUUC
rnacentral:rRNA from 1 species